ACUAGUGAUUGGGAUCGCCCUUACUCCUACGGGAGGCAGCAGUGGGGAAUAUUGGACAAUGGGGGGAACCCUGAUCCAGCCAUGCCGCGUGUGUGAAGAAGGCCUUAUGGUUGUAAAGCACUUUAAGCGAGGAGGAGGCUACUUUAGUUAAUACCUAGAGAUAGUGGACGUUACUCGCAGAAUAAGCACCGGCUAACUCUGUGCCAGCAGCCGCGGUAAUAAGGGCGAUCCAAUC
rnacentral:rRNA from 1 species